GGGCUAGUAAUGGUACGCCCUUCUAUGGCGAAAACGCAUAAUUGGAUGGAAAUGUGGGUUCGAGUCCCACCUAGCCCU
rnacentral:tRNA from 1 species